AAUAGAAAACGGGGCCCGCCGGCUCGCCGGGUGGAAAGCAUUCGACAGCAAGACGUGUUUUUCAAUCUGCGACUCGGCGAUUCCCAUCAUCACU
ensembl:miRNA mir-271 miscRNA